GGCCUGACUGCCUUGGAAGCCAACGACCCAUUUGCCAAUAAAGACGAUCCCUUCUACUAUGGUGGCAAAUGCAAAUGCAAGAGCAGCCAGAAGCAGCACAGUCCUGUACCUGAGAAAGCCAUCCCACUCAUCACUCCAGGUGAGAUGGGCUUCUGUGGGCUGAGGGGGUGUCUGUGUAAGGACUGUCUGAUGGCCUGCCCGCCACUCUCCGCAGGCUCUGCCACUACUUGCUGAGCACAGGACCGGCCUCCAGGGAUGGCCUGAAGCCUAACACUGGCCCCCAGCACCUCCUCCCCUGGGAGGCCUUAUCCUCAAGGAAGGACUUCUCUCCAAGGGCAGGCUGUUAGGCCCCUUUCCGAUCAGGAGUCUUCUUUAUGAAUUAAACUCGCCCCACCACCCACUC
rnacentral:sRNA from 1 species